rnacentral:lncRNA from 1 species
UGUAAAGCCUCUUGCCAUCUUGCCAUAACCCACCUGUCCGAUGACAUCUCCCCACCCAUGGCCGGCAACUGCACCCACAAAGAACUGCUCACUGUUUUCUGAAACCCUUAAAACCCUUGAUCCCUAUCUGCUGGCACAUGUGCAUUCCAGGCCCAGAAUGUCCUUUCCAGCCCUCCCCUUCUUCACCCUGUUUGUAUGCUUGAGGAUCUGCUGCUUGUCUCCCAGGAGUUUAAGAGCUGUAUCACUUGUGAGACCUUUGUCUUCCCUCAGGAAGUAAACUGGGUCCUUGCUCAGGGCCUCGGGGGACAUGCUGGGGUCAGAGGAUUCCCCUAGCUGUGCUGUCACUAUCUUCCCCACCAGAUUGGAGACACCUCUAACAGGACCUGCUCCUUCCUGAGGAACUCACUUUCCCAGAUGCUGAGUAUCUGGCCUUCAGCAGGGUGCAGACCCAUCUGCUGAAUGAACGACUGCGUGCAAACAGUAGCUUCC